CGUGGUGGAGGGGUUUGCGUGUCCCUGUGAUCCUGGGAGCUGUGUUGUCCGGGGCUAAUAGCCCCUGGUAGGGUCUCCCAAGGCAAAGUGGUCCCAGGGGAGGGGCCAGACCAAGAGCGGUUCAGAAAAGACCAUGACUGAAUGCUAUCUUGGGGACACGAGUACCUCGCCUGGUAUGGUCAGUCUGCAGGUGCCGGUGAGCGUCUGGUGGCUGGGCCUCUGCCCAAGAGCUCAGCCUGAAAAGACGACAUGGAGCCGCCACCCUGAGGGCCCACCACCUGCAGGGACAGGAGUUAAGGUCAGUGGCAUCCUGGUUCCUGUCACCUGUGCUGUCCGGUAUCAUGUCAGGAAUUCUUGUCUAUUUUGUUUGCAAAUUCAUUCUGAAAAGUGUGCCGUGAUGGGGUAUGCUGUGGAUUGCUGGGAUGUGCCUUUGUCACAGCGUUGGUUGUUUGGUUCGCUGUCUGUCCAUACCUCAAGAAGAAAAUCAAGCGAGAAACAGCCCCGGCUCCCUGUGAACCUCCACCAAUGGAGAAGUCCAGCAAACCUGCUCCAGUAGAGCCGCCUUCAACCCCAGACUCCUCCAGCAGACAGUCAGAGGGUGGCUUUCAAACUUGGAGGUUCAGAGAAAGCUGACUUGGACAACAGCAACAUGGAAACUUAUGAUUUGGAUAUCGUCAGUGGAAGGACUACAAACCAUCAUGGCAUCCAGUAAAAGACUACAAGACCCACACUAAGCAAGCAGGGCAGUCAGGACACUGAUUACUGCCCAGCUGAAACAAAUCAGCUGAUUGAAUCGGUGCAUGCAGACGAGAAGACAAUGACUGAGACAACCAGAGAAGAGCAGAGCUUUUUAGUUAUGUUACCUAGAAGACCGUAAACUACAAUAUUGAUUUACUUGCAUGUUUUUGUUUUCUUCAACUUCUGUCUACAAGAAAUAAGUUUAAAAUGCUGUUAAAGAAGACUAAAUUCACCUGAAUUUGAGUUGGAAAGCAACAUUUGAAUGCACUCAUUUCCUGCACCCAUACUUCUGAAGUUCCAAGAGAAAAGCUCCCAACCUCUCACGGCAUCACAACAUUAAAACAAGUGAAUGGAUAACAAAGAUCCAAUAAUAUAAUACCAUAAUAACAACAUGGGCCAUUCUCCGUAAUAGGCAUGUUUACUUUCAAUACAUUAGAUUCAUGUUGUUGUUUAGUCACAGGCCCAUUUCAUGGACGGCAUUUUGACAUGUCACAGUAGGAACAACACAGGUGAAAACAAUACAGUCAAUGACUGAAUUACAUUUAGCUGCUUUGAUUUCAGGAUCUUUUUAUUCUGCAUGCUUGCUUACCGUCAGUCUCACUGAAACACUUGAGUAAAACAGCCAUCAUUAGUGUUAUCAGUAACACCUGUGCUUUUCCUACUCUGACAAGUCAAACUGCUGUGGGAAAGGCCUGUUGAGAUUGCUAUGCCACCUGCAUUUUACUUGCAUGUGCUUGACUGUGUCAGAGGAAGCAGUAGCCAGACAGAUUUUGUGUCUGCAUACUUUUGCUUUUGUUGAGUUCUGUUUUGCUUUCACUUUACAACACCUUACAUUUCAUGUCCUCUCACCUUUUUACAUCACUGAUUUUACUGAUUGACACCCUCCAAAUUUGCAGUUUUUCAGUUAUUUUCUUUGUUACAAUAAAUAUAUUUUAUUUACUGCCAACCACUAUGACCAUUACAAUAUUUGUCAUGGCCUGUGAGCCAGUACAUGGUGUACAUUCUUCUCCGUAACUAUUAAAAGCACUACUUAUCCUUGUAAUUUACCAUUUUCAUUGUUA